rnacentral:misc_RNA from 1 species
AAGUCGUAACAAGGUUUCCGUAGGUGAACCUGCGGAAGGAUCAUUAUUGAAUAAACUUGGUUGGGUUGUUGCUGGCUUUUCGGAGCAAUGUGCACGCUCAAUCCAUUUUUAUAACCACCUGUGCACCUUUUGUAGACCUGAAUACCUCUCGAGGAAACUCGGUUCGAGAAUUGCUGCGUGUUUUUAAAAAAAUACCAGCUGUUCUUGCGUUCAGGUCUAUGUCUCUAUAUACCCCAUAAGAAUGUAUUGGAAUGUAAUUGAUAGGCGUGUUUAUAUACUGCCUUUAAAAUCAAAUACAACUUUCAACAACGGAUCUCUUGGCUCUC